AGGAAAAGAAAUCAACCGAGAUUCCCCCAGUAGCGGCGAGCGAACGGGGAGGAGCCCAGAGCCUGAAUCAGCAUGUGUGUUAGUGGAAGCGUCUGGAAAGGCGCGCGAUACAGGGUGACAGCCCCGUACACAAAAGCGCAUGUGCUGUGAGCUCGAUGAGUAGGGCGGGACACGUGAUAUCCUGUCUGAAUAUGGGGGGACCAUCCUCCAAGGCUAAAUACUCCUGACUGACCGAUAGUGAACCAGUACCGUGAGGGAAAGGCGAAAAGAACCCCGGCGAGGGGAGUGAAAAAGAACCUGAAACCGUGUACGUACAAGCAGUGGGAGCACCCUUCGGGGUGUGACUGCGUACC
rnacentral:rRNA from 1 species